ACACCGGCAGGUCAAGUGGUAGCCGCUUUUAUUGGGCCUAAAGCGUCCGUAGCCGGUCUGAUAAGUCUCUGGUGAAAUCCCGCAGCUUAACUGUGGGAAUUGCUGGAGAUACUAUCAUGACUCGAGGUCGGGAGAGGCUGGAGGAACUCCCAGGGUAGGGGGGAAAUCCCGUAAUCCUGGGAGGACCACCUGUGGCGAAGGCGUCCAGCUGGAACGAACCUGACGGUGAGGGACGAAAGCCAGGGGCGCGAACCGGAUUAGAUACCCGGGUAGUCCUGGCCGUAACCGAUGUGGACUUGGUGUUGGGAUGGCUUCGAGCUGCCCCAGUGCCGAAGGGAAGCUGUUAAGUCCACCGCCUGGGAAGUACGGCCGCAAGGCUGAAACUUAAAUGAAUUGGCGGGG
rnacentral:rRNA from 1 species